GUAUAGCUCAGUGGUAGAGCAUUCGGCUGCAGAUCGAGAGAUCUACGGUUCAAACCCGGAUGUCCCA
rnacentral:tRNA from 1 species